CCUACGGGAGGCAGCAGUGAGGAAUAUUGGUCGAUGGGCGAGAGCCUGAACCAGCCAAGUCGCGUGAGGGAAGACGGUCCUAUGGAUUGUAAACCUCUUUUGUCGGGGAGCAAAAAGGCCUCGUGAGGCAACAAGUGAGAGUACCCGAAGAAAAAGCAUCGGCUAACUCCGUGCCAGCAGCCGCGGUAAUACGGAGGAUGCGAGCGUUAUCCGGAUUUAUUGGGGUUAAAGGGUGCGUAGGCGGACUGGAAAGUCAGCGGUAAAAUCGAGAGGCUCAACCUCUUUCCGCCGUUGAAACUGUCGGUCUUGAGUGGGCGAGAAGUAUGCGGAAGGCGUGGUGUAGCGGUGAAAUGCAUAGAUAGCACGCAGAACUCCGAUUGCGAAGGCAGUUCACUGGACUGCAACUGACACUGAGGCUCGAAAGUGUGGGUAUCAAACAGGAUUAGAUACCCCAGUAGUC
rnacentral:rRNA from 1 species